GAUGAAGAACGCAGUGAAAUGCGAUAACUAGUGUGAAUUGCAGAAUUCCGUGAAUCAUCGAGUCUUUGAACGCACAUUGCGCCCCCUGGUAUUCCGGAGGGCAUGCCUGUUCGAGCGUCAUUAUCACCCCUCAAGCCCGGCUUGUUGUUGGAUGCAGCGCUUAUCCCGCUCCUCCCAAAGAUAAUGACGGCGUCUGCGACGACUCCUGUACACUGAGCUUUCGGGCACGUACACGGCUAGAAGUCCAGACCCGGUCGCCGUCCCCCCCGCGGGGACACCCAUUACCACAAGGUUGACCUCGGAUCAGGUAGGAAUACCCGCUGAACUUAAGCAUAUCAAUAAGCGGAGGA
rnacentral:misc_RNA from 1 species